GAGAUGUUAGUAAAACCAUUACAUGGCCUUGUCGAGGCCAAAUUACAGGUUAAACCCCAGUACAUCUCA
rnacentral:tRNA from 1 species